rnacentral:rRNA from 1 species
AAAAGUAGAAAAGGGCGCAUGGCGGAUGCCUUGGCUCACGGAGGCGAUGAAGGACGUGAUAAGCUGCGAUAAGCAUUGGGUAGGUGCAAAUAACCUUUGAUCCAGUGAUUUCCGAAUGGGACAACCCGGCUGUCUGAAGGACAGUCAUUACCAUCUUUUUGGUAAGGCGAACGCAGGGAACUGAAACAUCUUAGUACCUGUAGGAAGAGAAAAUAAUUCAAUGAUUCCCCCAGUAGUGGCGAGCGACCGGGGAACAGCCCAAACCCAUCCCGUAGCAAUGCGGGUUGGGGGUAGUAGGACCGCGCUGUCGUACUUUGAUUGUGAGGAGAAGCUUCUGGAAAGAAGCAUCGUAGAGGGUGAUAAUCCCGUAUCCGUAGCAUGACGAGGCGUAGCGGUAUCCUGAGUAACGCGGAACACGUGAAAUUCUGCGCGAAUCUGCCGGGACCAUCCGGCAAGGCUAAAUACUCCCGUGAGACCGAUAGUGGACGAGUACCGUGAGGGAAAGGUGAAAAGCACCCCGCGAGGGGAGUGAAAUAGUUCCUGAAACCAUGCGCCUACAAGCGGUCGGAGCCGCGCAAGCGGUGACGGCGUGCCUUUUGCAUAAUGAACCUACGAGUUACCAUGUCCGGCAAGGUUUAGCGGUUUAGCCGCGCAGCCUCAGUGAAAGCGAGCCUGAAUAGGGCGUUUGAGUCGGAUGGGGUAGACGCGAAACCAAGUGAUCUACACUUGCCCAGGUUGAAGUUCCGGUAACACGGAAUGGAGGACCGAACCAAUAAGCGUUGAAAAGCUUCUGGAUGAGGUGAGUGUAGGAGUGAAAGGCCAAUCAAACUUGGAGAUAGCUCGUACUCCCCGAAAGGCAUUUAGGUGUUGUAUAUAAAAAGUAUCGGUAGGGGAGCAUUCCAUCGACGCAGAAUGGUGAUAUUGAUUGAUCCUGGAGUUUAUGGAAAAGCAAAUGUAGGUAUAAGUAACGAUAAAAAGGGUGUGAUUCCCUUUCGCCGUAAGACCGAGGUUUCCCGGGCGAUGCCAAUCAGCCCGGGGUGAGUCGGGUCCUAAGCCUCAGCCGAAUGGCGAUGGCGAUGGCAGACACGGUUAAUAUUCCGUGACUUGCGCAUAUAGCGAUGUGGAGACGGAGCAGUGACACUGUCGCGUCCUGACGGAAAUGGGCGUUGAAGGUUGUAGGCGUUGAGGGAUACAGGCAAAUCCGUAUUCCGAGCUGAAUUCCGACAGUACGGUCUUCUUUUCGGAGACGACCGACAGCACAGGUAAUCAUACUCCCUAGAAAAUCCGCUAAGCAUAUGUUUGCGCAACCCGUACCGCAAACGGACACACGUGGUCGGGUAGAACAUACCAAGGCGUUGAGAGAUUCAUGGUUAAGGAACUAGGCAAACUGACCCCGUAACUUCGGGAAAAGGGGUCCUCAUGGCGACAUGAGGCGCAGAGAAUAGGUCCAGGCAACUGUUUAACAAAAACACAGGGCUGUGCCAACUCGAAAGAUGAUGUAUACAGCCUGACACCUGCCCGGUGCCGGAAGGUUAAGAGGAGAUGUCACACUUAUGUGGAAGCAUUGAAUUGAAGCCCCGGUAAACGGCGGCCGUAACUAUAACGGUCCUAAGGUAGCGAAAUUCCUUGUCGGGUAAGUUCCGACCUGCACGAAUGGUGUAAU